UCUGGAGGCUUCAGCAGGGACAGUUCCUCUGAUCGUCUGAUGUCUGAGAUGGAGCCAACACGAGACGGUGUGGGGGAUCAGGGAGAAUAUGGAAGCAAGGCACUUGGUCAUUAUGAGAUGAACCCAUGUGUGAAGCCUGCCACCCCCUGGUUUCAAUUGGGACCCAUGCCAGAGUCUGCUGCAGAGAAACAGCCCUAGAAUGGGUCCUGUAUGCAGAGGAUGUUGGGUGAUCUGGCCACGUGCACGGAAUUGUUAGAUGCUAUCCAGCCACGGCCUGUGCUACAGAGCGACAUGGAGGAAACAACCCUUAUCACUUGGCCUUGAAGUCGCUGUGACUGAUCUCACAGAUUUAUACAUGCUUUCUCCUCGCUUGAUCAGUCUUUUCAUGUCAUUCCAAUUCACAGCAGUGUAUCAAUAUAUCAGUGGCAGAUUUUGGCUGCACAUGUUGCUGUCUCAUAUCUACAAUAAUGUGUGAGAAAGUCUCAAGAGAAACCCCACUAAUUGCCGAAGACGGACAUAUUCUUUCACUUAGUUUCAGGACACGCCACAUUUUGAAACUGCUCGCAAAAUCAUCUCUAAGAUGCCGCUUUAGUCUGAUACAAAUUAUGUAUAUGCUCUUUUUCUUAAUGUACGUCGAAUAUAAUUCAUGUAUGUACCUGCUGUAUUUGUACAGGGGUGAGAGAGACUUUGCUGCAUUGUUUUUUAGCCUGUGGGGUGUA